rnacentral:rRNA from 1 species
GAUGAACGCUGGCGGCGUGCCUAAUACAUGCAAGUCGAGCGAACAGACGAGGAGCUUGCUCCUCUGACGUUAGCGGCGGACGGGUGAGUAACACGUGGAUAACCUACCUAUAAGACUGGGAUAACUUCGGGAAACCGGAGCUAAUACCGGAUAAUAUAUUGAACCGCAUGGUUCAAUAGUGAAAGACGGUUUUGCUGUCACUUAUAGAUGGAUCCGCGCCGCAUUAGCUAGUUGGUAAGGUAACGGCUUACCAAGGCAACGAUGCGUAGCCGACCUGAGAGGGUGAGAGGCCACCAUGGAACUGUGCCACGGACCAGGCACCUACGGGAGGCAGCAGUGGGGAAUGUUAGGAAAUGGGCGAAAGCUUAACGAAGCAAAGCCGAGGGAGGGAAGAAGGUCUUCGGAUCGUAAAACCAUGUUAGUAGGGAAGAACAAAUGUGUAAGUAACUAUGCACGUCUUGACGGUACCUAAUCAGAAAGCCACGGCUAACUACGUG